rnacentral:rRNA from 1 species
GCGCAGCAGUCGCGAAACUUCGCAAUGCGCGAAAGCGCGACGAGGGGAUUCCAAGUGCAUGCACUAAGUGUAUGCUUUUCGUGAGUUUAAAACGCUCACGGAAUAAGGGCUGGGUAAGACUGGUGCCAGCCGCCGCGGUAAUACCAGCGGCCCUAGUGGUGAUCGUUAUUAUUGGGCCUAAAGCGUCCGUAGCCGGUCCGGCAAAUCUCUGGGUAAAUCGUUGGGCUUAACUCAGCGAAUUCUGGGGAGACUGCUGGACUUGGGGACCGGGAGAGGUCGGAGGUACUCCAGGGGUAGGGGUGAAAGUCCUGUAAUCCUUGGGGGACCACCGGUGGCGAAGGCGUCCGACCAGAACGGGUCCGACGGUAAGGGACGAAGCCCUGGGGCGCGAACC